rnacentral:rRNA from 1 species
AACGUAGGAGGCGAGCGUUAUCCGGAUUUACUGGGCGUAAAGCGCGCGCAGGCGGCCUGGCAAGUCGGCUGUGAAAGCUCCUGGCUUAACUGGGAGAGGCCAGUCGAAACUGCCGGGCUUGAGGUUGGGAGAGGGGUAGGGAAUUCCCGGUGUAGUGGUGGAAUGCGUAGAUAUCGGGAGGAACACCAGUGGCGAAAGCGCUACCCUGGCCCACACCUGACGCUGAGGUGCGAAAGCGUGGGGAG